AUUGAACGCUGGCGGCAUGCCUUACACAUGCAAGUCGAACGGCAGCACGGGAGCAAUCCUGGUGGCGAGUGGCGAACGGGUGAGUAAUAUAUCGGAACGUGCCCAGUCGUGGGGGAUAACGCAGCGAAAGCUGUGCUAAUACCGCAUACGAUCUCUGGAUGAAAGCGGGGGACUCAGCAAUGAGCCUCGCGCGAUUGGAGCGGCCGAUAUCAGAUUAGCUAGUUGGUGGGGUAAAAGCUCACCAAGGCGACGAUCUGUAGCUGGUCUGAGAGGACGACCAGCCACACUGGAACUGAGACACGGUCCAGACUCCUACGGGAGGCAGCAGUGGGGAAUUUUGGACAAUGGGCGCAAGCCUGAUCCAGCAAUGCCGCGUGCAGGAUGAAGGCCUUCGGGUUGUAAACUGCUUUUGUACGGAAGGAAACGGCU
rnacentral:rRNA from 1 species